GCCAGCCGUGAAACGCCUACAGAAGAACGGACUCCAACGCCAAGUGUCAGAGGUGAAACAACCGUUCCGACAAGGUCAACAAGUGGCACUCCUGAAACACCUACAGAAAAACGGACUCCUACGCCAG
rnacentral:lncRNA from 1 species